GGGCGAGGACCACCGGGGCCGCGGCGCGGCUCAUGGCCGUGCUAUAUUCUCGACUGUCGUUCAAUCGGCAUUCCCCCG
rnacentral:tRNA from 1 species